GUGGGCAUAGCUGAGUGGUAGAGCGCAUGCUCAGCACCCACGAGGUCCUGGGGUCGAUCCCCAGUACCCCCA
rnacentral:tRNA from 1 species